UAAAAUACAAAAUACGGCUGGAGAUGUGGCUCAGUGGUCGAGUUCCCCUGAGUUCAAUCCCAAGUAUCCCUGCCCCCCCAACAUAGGAUACCCUGUGUGUGCAUUGGUGCAGUGAUGGCAGAACCUUGCUGCUGACCGUGCUUCUCUUGGCCUCAGAAGGCCAUCUGCCUAAAAGAUAUUCCAGAACCUUUUUUGUAUCUAGCCAUACUCCCUAUUCAGGAAGUCUUUCCUGAUGUCAAACAUUUGUCCCUCAUGAUAGGGUCAUUUCGCUGCCUGAGGUCAGCCCUCUCAGGAGCUAGAGAUCUGAUGGACGCCCUUCCUUUGUGUAAGAACCCUCUGACUAUUGGGACUUUGGCAAACCCUCACAUGGUAGAUCAGGCCGUGUUCUAAGUGUUCUGUGUAUUAACCCAUUUUCACAACAACCCCACCAAGUAGACAUGACUAUCAUCUCCAUUUUACACAUGAGCAAACUGAAGUACAGGGGGAUUAAGCAGCUUGUCAAAGGUCGCACAACUACCCAGUGGCUGAGAAGGGUUUAAAACUCGGACAUUCUGCCCCCAGAAGCCCCCAAACCACUGCAAUAGACUGCCACUCUCAACUGCAGGACUUAUUUUCUAGCACCUUCAUCAGUUCCUUUGUAGAGUUUAGAAUUCAUUUACUACACAACAAACCACCCUGGAAAUCCAGUGGCUUACAUCAUAAACAUUUAUUAUGUCACAUGAUUCUGUGGGUUUGAGUGGCCUGGGCAGUUGUCCUCGUCUGGCUGGCUGGUCAGCUGUUCUCCUGGUCAUCUGUGGGUCAGCUGGGGGGUGGCCUGGCUCACAUAUCUGGCAGCUGGCUCGAGAAUGCCCAGGGCAGCAGGGAUGGAUGGCUGGGCUCAGGUCUCUCACCAUCCUGCAGACUAGUCCAGAUGCCUCAGAUGGUGGCAGUUGCAGGGCUCCCAGCUGCUGCCCAAGAGGUCAAGUCCCAACGUAUAAAGCUCUUUUCCAGUUUUGCUGAUGUCUUAAGGGCCAUAGGAAAUCAAAUGGCCAAGCCCAGAUUCAAAGAGUAGAGAAAGAUUCCACCUUUGGAAAGGAGGAGCAUCCUAUCACAUCACAUCAGGGAAUGGCUGUGCUACUAAGCACUGUGAAUUGGACCCCAGGCUCCCUCCUCCCCAACUCAGCUCAGGCUCCACAGAGGAUUGGAGAGGUUUUCUGGAGCAGAUUAACCAUGGAACCCAGCAGGGAGGAGCAGAGUCUGGUCAGCAUGAAAGCAGCCACAGACACCAGGUGAAUGAACGCGUAUGGAUUUCUUCCCAUUUUAUUUCCAAGGACAAAUGUUGGAACAUAUUUGACCCAAGGGCCAGAAUUUGCCAUAUAGAGUGGAGGGCAAAACCCUGGCACCAGGGUCUGUUCUCUGUGGAUGGCCUCCUUUGGGGUUCCACAAAAUAUUUCCAUCCAAAAUAUUGCUUGAACCCUCAUUUGGGGUUCAAGCAAUAUUUUGCUUUAAAGUGAGAACACAGCACAGAAGAGUCCUGCUACCUUCCUGGCACAUGUGUGCUCAUGCCUGUUUCUUACUCAGAAUCGCAACAUUAUAGAACUUAGAACUGAAAA